rnacentral:rRNA from 1 species
AUCAUGGCUCAGGAUGAACGCUAGCUACAGGCUUAACACAUGCAAGUCGCGGGGUAACAUCUGGUAGAGCUUGCUCUUCCAGGAUGACGACCGGCGCACGGGUGAGUAACGCGUAUCCAACCUGGCCCAUACCACGGGAUAGCCCGUCGAAAGGCGGAUUAAUACCGUAUGCUGUCAUUAAGAUGCAUAUAUUGAUGACGAAAGGACUGGCGGUAUGGGAUGGGGAUGCGUCUGAUUAGCUUGUUGGCGGGGUAACGGCCCACCAAGGCGACGAUCAGUAGGGGUUCUGAGAGGAAGGUCCCCCACAUUGGAACUGAGACACGGUCCAAACUCCUACGGGAGGCAGCAGUGAGGAAUAUUGGUCAAUGGGCGCAAGCCUGAACCAGCCAAGUAGCGUGAGGGAAGACUGCCCUACGGGUUGUAAACCUCUUUUGUUUGGGAAUAAAGUGCGGGACGUGUCCCGCAUUGCAUGUACCAUUUGAAUAAGGACCGGCUAAUUCCGUG